AUAUGGGUACUUCUUCGUAUCCACCACCAACAGGGGCCACACAAGAUACCUUGGAGGCGAACUUCGAAGACUGGAGUCGGUUAUUUUCUACACCUAACCAGCAGGCCGAUCCUACCUUCCAGACACAUGUGGCCACCAGACGUCCAGUUAGAGACGUAGGGCCUCCAGACCGACACACCUACCCUACAGACCAUGUCCACGCACAUCGUAAAAGUGGUCGACAUGGCCGGGGUGGUUAGGAGGUGCUUCUAGUUAUUUCUGUAUUUUUGUUAUGGACAUGUCGUCAUGUUAUACUUAUUUCGUUCUUAUGCAUCACCUAUUUUGUUCUCA